rnacentral:rRNA from 1 species
GAUGAACGCUGGCGGCGUGCCUAAUACAUGCAAGUCGAGCGAACGGACGAUAAGCUUGCUUCUCUGAUGUUAGCGGCGGACGGGUGAGUAACACGUGGAUAACCUACCUAUAAGACUGGGAUAACUUCGGGAAACCGGAGCUAAUACCGUAUGAUAUUUUGAACCGCAUGGUUCAAAAGUGAAAUACGGUCUUGCGGUCACUUAUAGAUGGAUCCGCGCUGCAUUAGAUAGUUGGUAAGGUAACGGCUUACCAAGGCAACGAUGCAUAGCCGACCUGAGAGGGUGAUCGGCCACACUGGAACUGAGACACGGUCCAGACUCCUACGGGAGGCAGCAGUAGGGAAUCUUCCGCAAUGGGCGAAAGCCUGACGGAGCAGCGCCGCGUGAGUGAUGAAGGUCUUCGGAUCGUAAAAAUCUGUUAUUAGGGAAGAACAUAUGUGUAAGUAACUGUGCACAUCUUGACGGUACCUAAUAAGAAAGCAACGGCUAACUACGUG